UUCUUUCCAUUGAUUCAUUGAUUAAUUUUAUUGAAGCAUAAAAUUAUCGGAUGGUUCCCUGGCUGGUGUGGAAGUUGCUAUGUUAGGGUUACAGAUAUGAAGGAAUCGGGAUUACAAAGCCACCUGCGACUGCCAGAGAGCUUUGUUUGUUCCCGUGCAUUUCAUCUAUGCAGAACAAUGCAGAUUUUGGGGAGAAACUUAGGCGGAUGAAGCAGAUUUGUAGUUUCUCAAUGUUUUUUUUCAAUGGAUGAUGGGUUAACAAAGGCUUUCCUAAGCCUCCCUACUUAGACCCUUCUUGAAAGGUUGCAGAUAGAAGAAAAAGUAAGCAUGAAAAGGAAAAUGCUCCCCGACCUCUUAUGGAGGCCAAACCUUGGAGACCAAUUCCCUCUAUCAAUAUUCAGGAUUCACCUUAUGAAUUCAUUGCUAAUGAUCUACAAUUAAUGCAAUUUUAGUUCAGAUCUCAUGGGACAAUGCCUCUUUAAUACUUUAUCUGACCUUCACAAAUGGGUUGUAACAAAUAGGUAUUCUUCUCUCUAUUUUCACCUUUUAUCUCUCGAUUGUUUUGUGGUUGUUUUUGAAGAUGAGGAGGCCGGAAAUAUAAUCUUGAGUAAAUCUUUCCAUCAAUUCAAAUAAAUUCUCCGCAAUGUUCAACCUUGUAACCCUCUUUCACCUCUACCCAUGGCAAGUCCUCUUCCUAUUUGGUUUACCCUUCCUAAGCUUCCUCGGGAGAUAACAUUCCAAGAAAUGACCCCUUGAAGAUGAACAAUUUGUGAUUGUGACCAUCCAGAGGAUGUUGAAUCCCAAGGAUGAUGAUUGGGUUGCCAUGAUUUCUCCUUCAAGUGGCAAUUAUGGAUUUUCAAUAACAUAAAGUCAAUGUUAUAAAUGAGAUUUAUAUA